GGUUGGAUCAUUCUAUUGUACUGUAAUCGUAUGCCGAUAAUAAAGACAUUGCCUUGUUUAAGUGUAUCUGACAGACUGGAAUCGGUGCACGCGUUAUAGUUGAUAUUCGUCGGCGUCUGGUGACAGAGGAAACAUCCUUCAACAAACAAAUUAGCCUGAAAUAUACUUUCUUGGCUAUAUUGGUGACUGUCCGGCAAGUCAACUGCUGCCUCUGCCAAUUGACGAAAACGAUAAAAAGGAUGCAACCCCAAUGAAUCAAUGCGCAUGUGACCGAACGACAAUUAUACUGACGGACAAGGAACGGACAAACGAUGAUUAUUGAACGAAACUAAGGACUGACAAAAUGAACUAUUUACCGAAUACUAUAUAUUGUAUUCCAAGGUGAAAAUGAAACAAACUGACAAUUAAUAGUAUUAACGAAAGGUGACAAACGGAUGACAAUGAACUGUGCUGUAAUUUAAAGAUCGCGCGUUAUUGCUGAUUGCAAUAAAACAGAAACGAGAAAUUACCGCAAAAUAGUCAGAAAUGGACGUUAUCAAUUUAUCAUGUUGUUUUAUUUUACAUUAUUUACUGAUUUUGUUUUCCUGGGACAAUCUUCUUCUAUUAUUAAAGCUAAAACCUUUUCUUUUUUCUAUGGCCUUUGAACAAUUCGGCUUCCAAUUAUUAUGAAAUUAUUGAAAAUAAGACUUUUAAUGUUUAUUGGGUUGUGCAACGAAAAUAAGUGUAAAAUUUUAAAUAAUUCCUACGCAAUUCAUAAUAAUUGAAAUUGACGGAUAUUACAAACCUCAAUUGAAUAGAUUUCGGACCACUAAUACAAUUUUAAAAAGAUGAUUCGGACGAAUCACACUUUGUGCUCGCAACUAUAUUCGUUAAAUACGAAUAUAUUCAAUCAAAUACAAGGAAAAGCGCUCUAUUUUUUCAAAGCCCACAGAUGGCAAACUUUUUUUUCAACGCGCUUUUAACCCGACAAGGGCACAUGCGAACGAAGCCUAAAUGUACUCUCGUGAGCAUAAAAGUUAUUGAGUGUUAUGAAGUAUAUUAGAUUAAAAAUUUGUUUUGGCUGUCAACAGCAAAUUUCAAAAUAAGAUUACGCCUGUUCUAAACUAAAUUGAAGGGUUUGUUACAAACCAAACCUUCGAGUCAAACUGAACUUGGGUGCUCGCUUCUGAAAAAAUUGCUUAAACCUCAAGUCAUGAUAACCAAAAAUAUUUUGUGUCCGUAAGCAGAACAACCUAAAAGCGCUAUGAUAAAAAGUACAUUCAAGCGUACGACAUCUGUGACGAUAUGACUUUGAUGAGAUGUGCAGGAAUCUAAUGUGUAACAUUCAUUUACAGGUCCAAUAAAACUUACAUCUGUGCAAAGCUACACA